rnacentral:rRNA from 1 species
UACGUAGGGAGCAAGCGUUGUUCGGAUUUACUGGGCGUAAAGGGCGCGUAGGCGGCGCUGUAAGUCACUUGUGAAAUCUCUGAGCUUAACUCAGAACGGCCAAGUGAUACUGCAGUGCUAGAGUGCAGAAGGGGCAAUCGGAAUUCUUGGUAUAGCGGUGAAAUGCGUAGAUAUCAAGAGGAACACCUGAGGUGAAGACGGGUUGCUAGGCUGACACUGACGCUGAGGCGCGAAAGCUAGGGGAGCAAACGGG